GACGAACGCUGGCGGCGUGCUUAACACAUGCAAGUCGAACGGAAAGGCCUCUUUCGGGGGGUACUCGAGUGGCGAACGGGUGAGUAACACGUGAGUAACCUGCCCUUGACUUUGGGAUAACUUCAGGAGACUGGGGCUAAUGCCGGAUAGGAGCUCCUGCUGCAUGGUGGGGGUUGGAAAGUUUCGGCGGUUGGGGAUGGACUCGCGGCUUAUCAGCUUGUUGGUGGGGUAGUGGCUUACCAAGGCUUUGACGGGUAGCCGGCCUGAGAGGGUGACCGGCCACAUUGGGACUGAGAUACGGCCCAGACUCCUACGGGAGGCAGCAGUGGGGAAUAUUGCACAAUGGGUGGAAGCCUGAUGCAGCAACGCCGUGUGCGGGAUGACGGCCUUCGGGUUGUAAACCGCUUUCGCUCAUGACGAAGCUUUGUGUGACGGUAGUGGGUAAAGAAGCACCGGCUAACUACGUG
rnacentral:rRNA from 1 species